rnacentral:rRNA from 1 species
UCAGGGUUCGACUCCGGAGAGGGAGCCUUAGAAAUGGCUACCACAUCUAAGGAAGGCAGCAGGCGCGCAAAUUACCCACUCUCAGCUAGAGGAGGUAGUGACGAAAAAUAACGAUGCGGGACUCCUAUGAGGCUCCGCAAUUGGAAUGAGUACAAUUUAAAUCCUUUAACGAGGAACAAUUGGAGGGCAAGUCUGGUGCCAGCAGCCGCGGUAACUCCAGCUCCAAUAGCGUAUAUUAAAGUUGCUGCAGUUAAAAGGCUCGUAGUUGGAUCUCAGGUACGGAGCUAGAGGUUGGCUUUAGCCGAACCAUUAGUUUCCGCCUCACUAGCUGUAUGUUAUCUUGUGUGCUCUUCACUGUGUGCACAAGAUACUCAGCACGUUUACUUUGAAAAAAUUAGAGUGCUCAAAGCAGGCCUUGUGCUUGAAUACUGUUGCAUGGAAUAAUGGAAUAGGACUUCGGUUCUAUUUUGUUGGUUUUCGGAAUCGAAGUAAUGAUUAAAAGAGACAGACGGGGGCAUCUGUAUGGUGGUGUUAGAGGUGAAAUUCGAUGAUCGCCGCCAGACAAACAACUGCGAAAGCAUUUGCCAAGGAUGUUUUCAUUAAUCAAGAACGAAAGUCAGAGGUUCGAAGACGAUCAGAUACCGUCCUAGUUCUGACCAUAAACGAUGCCAACUGACAAUCGGAGUUUAUUAUUAUUUUUCACUCCGGCAGUCCCUGGGAAACCUUUAAGUCUAUCGGUUCUGGGGGGAGUAUGGUUGCAAAUCCGAAACUUAAAGGAGUUGACGGAAGGGCACCACCAGGUGUGGAGCCUGCGGCUUAAUUUGACCCAACACGGGAAAACUCACCCGGCCCGGACACUGUGAGGAUUGACAGAUUGAUAGCUCUUUCUUGAUUCAGUGGGUGGUGGUGCAUGGCCGUUCUUAGUUGGUGGAGUGAUUUGUCUGGAUAAUUCCGAUAACGAACGAGACUCUAGCCUGCUAAAUAGUCACCACGUAAUAAUUGCGUGGACUGACUUCUUAGAGGGAUUCGCUACGUUUAGUGGCACGAAAUUGAGCAAUAACAGGUCUGUGAUGCCCUUAGAUGUUCGGGGCCGCACGUGCGCUACACUGACGAUAUCAAUGAGUGUCUUCCUAAGCCGAGAGGUUUGGGAAAUCUUAUGAAUUAUCGUCAUGUCAGGGAUUGGGGCUUGUAAUUUUUCCCCAUGAACGAGGAAUACCGAGUAAGCGCAAGUCAUAAGCUUGCGCUGAUUACGUCCCUGCCCUUUGUACACACCGCCCGUCGCUACUACCGAUUGAAUGGUUUAGUGAGGCAUUUGGAUCGAGAUUAAUGAAGUGGUUUUCCAUUUUGUUGAUUUUGAGAAAAUUGUCAAACUUGAUCAUUUAGAGGAAGUAAAAGUCGUAACAAGGUU